rnacentral:rRNA from 1 species
AUUGAACGCUGGCGGCAUGCUUUACACAUGCAAGUCGAACGGUAACAGGCCGCAAGGUGCUGACGAGUGGCGAACGGGUGAGUAAUGCAUCGGAACGUGCCCAGUCGUGGGGGAUAACGCAGCGAAAGCUGCGCUAAUACCGCAUAUGAUCUCUGGAUGAAAGCGGGGGACCGAAAGGCCUCGCGCGAUGGGAGCGGCCGAUGUCAGAUUAGGUAGUUGGUGGGGUAAAGGCCCACCAAGCCAACGAUCUGUAGCUGGUCUGAGAGGACGACCAGCCACACUGGGACUGAGACACGGCCCAGACUCCUACGGGAGGCAGCAGUGGGGAAUUUUGGACAAUGGGCGCAAGCCUGAUCCAGCAAUGCCGCGUGCAGGAAGAAGGCCUUCGGGUUGUAAACUGCUUUUGUACGGAACGAAACGGUCCGGGUUAAUACCCUGGGCUAAUGACGGUACCGUAAGAAUAAGCACCGGCUAACUACGUGCCAGCAGCCGCGGUAACAC